rnacentral:lncRNA from 1 species
UACAGCUGGCGUCCUUUGCAUGAUGAAACAAAAAUUUGAACAUGGAUCUAGCAACAAGACCUAUCAGAUGUGACCGUGGGAUGACUUCCUAGAUGGGGAACGUUGAUAUCUAAUAGGAGAACUAGACCAAUCAGAUGUGUCCCGUCGUUUGUGCUCCCUGUUUUCCACCGCAGGCGCCAUCCUUCGUCACAAAGUAGCCAAAGCUCCGAGUCGCAAUAUAAUCAAGUAAUUGAUAUCACUGAGUUCAAGCUAAAAUUCGUCAGAACAAGCACUAUAGUCAGAUUGACGAACAAAAACUAAUUUUCCAUUAAUAUCAUGAAGCAAUAAAGCAGGAUUAAGAAAAGCACACAUUUCCCACAAAUAGAGUAUCUCGAUUCCAGAGCCCACCAAAGACAAUGGGCAAAACCAUAGCUCAAAGCCAUCAAACGAAAGGAUAAGACAAAGAAACUUUAUAGAACACCAAGAAAAGAGAAAAAACCUAACUUUAACGCGCUCAUCAAUUUUUAUUCUCACUGCACUAUAUUAUUUGUACCAGUUGCAAACAACGAAAGAACGAAAACAAAGAUGGCAGGAAUACUAACUGAGAUGUGUUUGAUACGAAAGAGAGAAAAAGAAAAUCCGCGACAGCCAAGAAAAAGGGAUCUCAGAGGAGAAACUUACAUGCGAGAGAGGCAGGAGAGGGAAUGGAAGGAUAGCCCUAUCCAACGACGGAGCGUUCGCCACCGAGGGGAGGCGCCAUGGACGAACGC